GCCGCUUUCGUCUAUCGGCAGGACAGCAGCCCUUCAAGUUGCGAAGAUGAGUUCGAUUCUCCUAAGCGGCA
rnacentral:tRNA from 1 species